CUACAGUCAUAUUUCAGCAUAUAUUAAUAUUACCAAUGUAUUUUCAGCUUUAUUGAUAAUUAAUUUUCAGUAUUAUAGUCUUGUUAUAUUUCAUAUGAUUGAAUAAAAAUAAGUUAGUACUUUUAGAUGUGUAUUAAAAGUGUUGUGUAAUUUAAUAAUUGUGUUGAAUGCCAUCAAGAGUUUAUUGAAAGCUCAUACAGAUUCCCAAAUAUGUGAAUUAAAUUCCUGAAAUCCUAUGUUUCAAAGAUGCACUUAAUCAUAACUUUAAAGGUAGGAAAGACCUUACAAAUGACCAGUAUAUUUGUUGGAUAGCUCAAGAAACGGAAACUCAAGUAAUUUGCUACACUUGCAGAUUAAGAUAUUAAACCUGUGUCUUCUGACUUUAUACUGUCAUAUUGGUUUUUUCUUGUUUUUACUAAAA
rnacentral:lncRNA from 1 species